rnacentral:rRNA from 1 species
AGCGAACGCUGGCGGCAGGCCUAACACAUGCAAGUCGAACGAAGUCUUCGGACUUAGUGGCGGACGGGUGAGUAACACGUGGGAACGUGCCUUUAGGUUCGGAAUAACUCAGGGAAACUUGUGCUAAUACCGAAUGUGCCCUUCGGGGGAAAGAUUUAUCGCCUUUAGAGCGGCCCGCGUCUGCUUAGCUAGUUGGCUAGGUCAAGGCUCACCAAGGCUACGAUCAGUAGCUGGUCUGAGAGGAGGACCAGCCACAUUGGUACUGAGACCCGGCCCAAACGCCUACGGAAGGCAGCAGUGGAGAAUCUUUCGCAAUGGACGAAAGCCUGACACAACCAAGCCGCGUAGAUGAUGAAGAUCAUAGGAUUGUAAAAUCCUAUCACCGGUGAAGAUAAUGACUGUAGCCGGAGAAGAAGCCCCGGCUAACUUCGUGCCUGCCGCCGCCGGAAGAC